AUACCUCUCUCGGCCUUUUGGCUAAGAUCAAGUGUAGUAUCUGUUCUCAUCAGAUUAAUAUCUGAUACGAGGGUCAUCGAUCCUAACGAUAUUAAUCUAAUUUCUCUCACGGGUGCGGGUCCAAUCAGGCAGCUUGCUGUCUCGGACUCGCCAGUGUAGCCUCGGUAUUGCACCACUUCCUUGGCCUGCGCAGCCCCU
rfam:Marchantia polymorpha subsp. polymorpha scaffold684, whole genome shotgun sequence.